UCCCUAGUGGCUGAGAUGGUAAAGCAUCUGCCUGCAAUGUGGGAGACGCGGGUUCGAUCCCUAUGUUGGGAA
rnacentral:tRNA from 1 species